CCAACUGAAUCAAAUUCUCUCCUCAUGAACUCCUCAAAUGUCAAAGGAUCAUCCCCACUUACACUUUCUGCAUUUCCAUUAGUAUCCUUCUUAUUUUCUUGAGCAUUCUCUUUAUGCUUUUCCACUUCCUUUUCCAAAUAUAAAGAGUACUGUUUAUCUGGAUCCUCGAGUAGACAUAUCAUUGAUUCUAACAAAUGCUUCCAUCCGGAUAAAGGGACCAAACACUCGUACAGAGUUUUAGCGCGAUGAUCAAGAAAUACAUCAAGAAGUUCAGCAUUACCAUCGACCUUCAUUCGCUUCUUGUUCCCAAAGAGAAUUAUAUCUCCAAGUCCAUACUUACCAUACUCAAGUGAAUGAUUAACCAAUCUCCGGAGCCGUGCUGCCACCUCUAAAACCGCAAUAUUGGUGGGAGCACAUGUUAGUGUUCUGCACUUCAACUUAAACAGAGCAAAGAGUGAUAGACUGACGGUCUUUGUUUUCCCAGUACCAGGAGGACCCCAUAUUAAUUUGACAGCAUUCUGGUGUUGGCAUUUGCUCAAACUAAUACAGUUUAAAAUUGCAGCUUCUUGGGACUCAUUUAGACUAUGAGAGCUAAUUG
rnacentral:lncRNA from 1 species